AUCUGGCUAAAGGGUCCCAAAUAGGACGAAAUGUGCAUCCUGGAU
rfam:Schistosoma rodhaini strain Burundi genome assembly, scaffold: SROB_scaffold0014984